UACGGGGGGGGCAAGCGUUGUUCGGAAUUACUGGGCGUAAAGGGCUCGUAGGCGGCCAACUAAGUCGGAUGUGAAAUCCCCAGGCUUAACCUGGGAACUGCAUCCGAUACUGGAUGGCUUGAAUUCGGGAGAGGGAUGCAGAAUUCCAGGUGUAGCGGUGGAAUGCGCAGAUAUCAGGAGGAACACCGAUGGCGAAGGCAGGUCUCUGGGCACUUACUGACGCUGAGGCACGAAAGCGUGGGGAGCAAAAGGG
rnacentral:rRNA from 1 species